AUUGAACGCUGGCGGCAUGCCUUACACAUGCAAGUCGAACGGUAACAGGUCUUCGGACGCUGACGAGUGGCGAACGGGUGAGUAAUACAUCGGAACGUGCCCAGUCGUGGGGGAUAACUACUCGAAAGAGUAGCUAAUACCGCAUACGAUCUGAGGAUGAAAGCGGGGGACCUUCGGGCCUCGCGCGAUUGGAGCGGCCGAUGGCAGAUUAGGUAGUUGGUGGGAUAAAAGCUUACCAAGCCGACGAUCUGUAGCUGGUCUGAGAGGACGACCAGCCACACUGGGACUGAGACACGGCCCAGACUCCUACGGGAGGCAGCAGUGGGGAAUUUUGGACAAUGGGCGAAAGCCUGAUCCAGCAAUGCCGCGUGCAGGAAGACUGCCCUAUGGGUUGUAAACUGCUUUUAUAGUAGAAGAAACACAUCUACGUGUAGAUGUCUGCCAGUAUACUAUGAAUAAGCAUCGGCUAACUCCGUG
rnacentral:rRNA from 1 species